AAUUAUAAACUACAAUGCAAGAGUUAUAUAAAAAAGUUGUAAAAAAUAAAAAAAGUUGUUAGAAAAAAUCAGUUUCAUAAUCUUAUUAUAUCCAACGGCUGAAUUUGUGGAUUCCACAAUCAAUUUAUCGUUGGUGAUUUUGUCCAAUUGGAAGAGCAAAGAGAACCCGCAGACAUGAAGCAUCAUUGGAGACACACCUCACCUCGUACCUGAGCAAACCCACAAUGUCAUUGUCAUUGUCAAGGUUAAGGUUUGUUAUCUCUACUUCUGUUUACUUGCCAAAGUUUCUUCCUUUUUUGUUAAUCCUUAGUCUCAGCCCUUAUUCAUUCACAUUGCUGAUGAUGGUGUUGCUUUAUUUAACCGCUCUCUUCAUAUGAAUAUUGUCCCACCCAUUAUCGAAUUUAACGAGAUUUGAGGAUCCCAUGUGAAGUUGAAGAAGCACUAUCCCCACUGCUAUUUCCCUUUCUAAACAAUUGGAACUCACAGGAAUCAUGCCAACGCUUGUUACUUUGAGCAUCUUGGUCACUGUUUCUGCCAACUAAGAGGAAUGAGUUCCGCUUUUUCUGCGUGUGGCAAGAUUCUCAAGAUGGGUUAUCAGCCAAAUACCAUAAUCUUGAUUACAAUUAUGAGGGGUCUCACUCAAAAUAGAGAGGUGAAGACAGCGUAGCACUUUCAUGACAGGGUGAUAGCCAGAGGAUUUUAGAUGAGCAACAAAACAUUGAUAGGCUUUGCAAGUACAAACUUGUGACUUAUGCAAGUGAAUUGUAUUCUGAAAUGUAAGGGCAGGCAAAAG
rnacentral:lncRNA from 1 species